UACAGAGGGUGCAAACGUUGCUCGGAAUCAUUGGGCGUAAAGCGCACGUAGGCGGUCUUGUAAGUCAGGAGUGAAAGCCCUCGGCUUAACCGGGGAAGUGCUUUUGAAACUGCAAGACUUGAAUACUGGAGAGGAUCGCGGAAUUCCCGGUGUAGAGGUGAAAUUCGUAGAUAUCGGGAGGAACACCAGUGGCGAAGGCGGCGAUCUGGACAGAUAUUGACGCUGAGGUGCGAAAGCGUGGGGAGCAAACAGG
rnacentral:rRNA from 1 species